rnacentral:lncRNA from 1 species
UUGGAAAGCUGCACAAUAAUUUAAGAAACCGAUCUCUACUGCCCUUUAGUUUAACAAUUAAAAACAAACCUAAACUAUAUAUAUAUAUAUAUAUAUAUAUAUAUAUAUAUAUAUAUAUAUAUAUACAGCAGAAGCAGUCAUUGCAGUAGUAUGUUGUUAUAGUUGCUUUUGUCAGUGCUAGUCAUUGCUAUGUAUGUUGCAGCACUCCUGGAAGGACUACAAAAUACUGAUAAUAAAAAGAUAAGAAACAAGGAAACAGUAUGUUCA